GAUGAACGCUGGCGGUAUGCCUAACACAUGCAAGUCGUACGAGAGUUUUUUAACUCUAGUGGCGGACGGGUGAGUAACACGUGAGAAUUUGCCUUUAGGAGGGGGGCAACAAUUGGAAACGAAUGCUAAUACCCCAUAUGCUUUCGAGUGAAAUGGAUUUUAUCCGCCUAGAGAGAAGCUCGCGGCUGAUUAGCUUGUUGGUAAGGUAAGAGCUUACCAAGGCGACGAUCAGUAUCNGGUUUGAGAGGAUGAUCAGACACACUGGAACUGAGACACGGUCCAGACUCCUACGGGAGGCAGCAGUGGGGAAUUUUCCGCAAUGGGCGAAAGCCUGACGGAGCAAUCUCGCGUGGGGGAUGACGGCCUAUGGGUUGUAAACCUCUUUUUUCAGGGAGGAACAAAAUGACGUGUACCUGAAGAAUAAGCAUCGGCUAACUCCGUG
rnacentral:rRNA from 1 species